GAUGAACGCUAGCGAUAGGCUUAACACAUGCAAGUCGAGGGGCAGCAUGGUCUUAGCUUGCUAAGACUGAUGGCGACCGGCGCACGGGUGCGUAACGCGUAUGCAACUUGCCUCACAGAGGGGGAUAACCCGUCGAAAGACGGACUAAUACCGCGUACACUCCAUCUUGGGCAUCCAAGGUAGAGGAAAUGAAAUUCGCUGUGGGAUAGGCAUGCGUCCCAUUAGCUAGUUGGUGAGGUAACGGCUCACCAAGGCGACGAUGGGUAGGGGAACUGAGAGGUUGAACCCCCACACUGGUACUGAGACACGGACCAGACUCCUACGGGAGGCAGCAGUGAGGAAUAUUGAUCAAUGGGCGAGAGCCUGAACCAGCCAAGUCGCGUGAAGGAUGACUGUCUUAUGGAUUGUAAACUUCUUUUAUACGGGAAUAACAAGAGUCACGUGUGACUCCCUGCAUGUACCGUAUGAAUAAGCAUCGGCUAACUCCGUG
rnacentral:rRNA from 1 species